AAACUCUUUCAGAAGGCAGAAGCAUUUGAUUAUUUUUACCUUCUUCCAUUUGAAUAUUUCAUAGCUUUUCAUGUAAAUCUGCUGUUUAAUUACCAUUACAUUUAAAAGUGCAUAAACCACUAUGUGCUUAUGAGGAACACACGUAAUAUCUAAGAAGUGGCCCUUGGAUGAGGAGCUUACAAUCUGAUAGAGCUGGCUAGACUUGUGUGCAAUAAAGACUCUUAUAAAAAGACAACGUGGAGUUAAAUUGCUCAAAAGUGUCAGAAGAAGAGGAGGGUAGGGAAAACAUCUGAGCAAAGGUAGGGAGAGAGGAAUGAUUAGAACAUACUGUAUAAGGUCACAGCAUAGUUAGAAAAUCACCCAGAUUGAAGAAGUAAGCUGACAGGGUAUAGUGUGUUACAAAUCUGGCACACAAUGGCCUUUUCUUAGUUCCUCAAUUGUUCCAAGUCCUUCCCUCUACCUGAGACAAUUCCCCUCUCCCUCCCGCACUUCCACCUCCAACUCCUCUCAACCUGAAGAUGACCCAGUUAAGAAUGGCCUUGCUGGCCAGGCGCAGUGGCUCACAGCUGUAAUCCCAACACUUGGGGAGGCCGAGGCAGGUGGAUCACUUGAGGUCAGGAGUUGGAGACCAGCCUGGCCAACAUGAUGAAACCCCAUCUCUACUAAAAAUACAAAAAUUAGCUGGGUGUGGUGGUGAGUGCCUGUAAUCCCAGCUACUCGGGAGGCUGAGGCAGGAAAAUCACUUGAACCUGGGAGGCAGAGGUUGCAGUGAGCCAAGAUCGCACCACUGCACUCCAGCUUGGAUGACAAGAGUGAGACUCCAUCUCAAAAACAAAACAAAACAAACAAAAAAACAAAUGGCCUUGCCUAUAUUAAGGUCCUCCUUUGUUCAGCUCCUUUAUUGGCUUCACAGCUCUAAUCCCAGUCUAAAAUUAUUUCGCUUAUGUUGACUCCAUUUACUUUAUGUUUAGUAUUUGUCUCCUCCAUAAACUAUAAACUCUUUGAGGACAGCCUCAAUUGUCCUGUUUGUUCUUUAUCUUCUAGUGUGUACCGGUCAGUAAAUAUCGGUCAAAUUAAAGGAUAAAAUAUGGGAAAGAUAAGAAUGAGUCCAGUCAAGGAAACCUGUCUGAUUUUCAAGAAGAAGAAAAGUUUAGAUUUUAUAAGAAAAGUAAUACACAGAUAAGCAAAAGAAUGAUAGAUUUUGGGGAGUAUGAAUGGAAAGAGGAUGUUAACAGUAUGCCGAAUGUAUUGUGGAGAGGAAAAUUACUAUAAGUGGGAGGCAGUUAGAAGGUUAUUACAGCAUCCAAGUAAAUUGAUAAAAGCCUGAACAAGGGUGGUAGAGUAGAAAUGGAGUGGAAGGGGAAAAGCUGAGAUUAUAAAGAAGAGUGCCCAUGAAAUUUUUGUUUUUAGCUUUCACUUUUAUUUUGAAAUAAUUUUUUCAGAUCUUUUGAAACUUAGAGAAAAGUUGCAAAAUAUCAUGAGCUUGUGUAUAGCCUUCAUCUAGAUUCACCAACUCUUAGAGUACUGCUCAUUUGCCCAUGAAAUUUUUGUUUUUAGCUUUCACUUUUAUUUUGAAAUAAUUUUUUCAGAUCUUUUAUUUUGAAACUUGGAGAAAAGUUGCAGAAAAUCAUGAGCUUGGGUAUAGCCUUCACCUAGAUUCACCAACUCUUAGAGUACUGCUCAUUUGCUUUAUUCCCUUGCUCUUUCCUCUGUACAUGCAUGUACAUUCUUACGUGUUCUUUUUUUAUGAAUCAUUUGGGAAUAAGUUAUAGACAUCAUGCCCCUUUAUUCCCAAAUACCUCAGUGUGUAUUUCCUAAUAACAAAGACACUUUCACAUAGACAGAAUACACUUACCAAAGUCAGGGAUUUAAUGUUGAUACAAUGCUUUAUCCAGGAUUCUAUAAUAGUUCAGGGUCCAAUUGAGGAUUAUGCAUUACAAUGAGUUAUAAUGUCUCUUUAGAUUCCAUUCAUCUGGAAUAGUUCCUUGUUUUUUUAAUUUUAUGCCAUCAAUAUUUUUGAAAUGUACUGGACAAUUAAGUUGUAGAAUGUUCCUCCGUUUGGGUUUGCUCAUGUUACCUCAUAAUUAGACUCAAACUCUGCAUUUUUGGUGGGAGUACUACAUUAGCAUUCUUGUGUCCUCCUCAGCACUGAAAAAGAGGCACAUGACAUCACUUUGUCACAUUAUUGGAGGUAUGAACUUUGAUCAUUUGGUUAAGGUGGCAUCUGCUAAGUUUCUCCACUGUAAGAUUGCUAUUUUUAUUUUGUAAUUAUUGAAUUAAUUUAUGCAAAGAUUAUGAGCCUAUAUGAAUAUUUUAUCUUCAUCAAACUUUUACCCAAUAGUUUUAGCAAACAUUGGGGAUUCUUGCCUGAAUCAGUUAUUGCCAUGACAGCUGCAAAAUGGUGAUUUUGUAACUCUAUUAUUUCUUCUACAUUUGUCAAUUGGUAUUUCACUGUAAAGAAAAGUGUUUGCUUUUUCCAUUGUAUUUAUAGCCCAUGGACUGUUUUUUGAUUACAUGGAUUAUAAUCCAUUACUGUCAUUAU
rnacentral:lncRNA from 1 species